GUGUCAGCCGCCGCGGUAAGACGAACUGUCCUAACGUUGUUCGGAAUCACUGGGCUUAAAGGGCGCGUAGGCGGUCCGCCAAGUCAGGGGUGAAAUCCUGCAGCUUAACUGUAGAAGUGCCUCUGAUACUGGCGGUCUUGAGGGAAAUAGGGGUGUGCGGAACUUCCAGUGGAGCGGUGAAAUGCGUUGAUAUUGGAAGGAACGCCGGAGGCGAAAGCGGCGCACUGGAUUUCUUCUGACGCUGAGGCGCGAAAGCUAGGGGAGCAAACGGGAUUAGAUACCCUGGUAGUCC
rnacentral:rRNA from 1 species